AGAGUUAAUCUUGCUUAAGUUAUUAAGUGUAUUUAAGAGUGGAGAGCAUAAUAAAAUUAUUUAUAAUUAAUUAAUAUAUUAAGUAGAAUGAAUCGAAAUGUAUUUGUUUAGAGCUAUAGAGAAUAGUACUGUGAGGGAAAGAUGAAAUAGUUUGAAAAAUAAGUGAGUGAAAAGUAGGUCUAUAAAUUCGUACCUUGUGUAUCAGGGAGAACUAAAAUUAUUUUAAUAUUUAAAGGAUCCCGAAAAAAAAAGAGCUAAUUCAAAAAUAAAGUUUUCGUGUUAAUGAGAUUUUAAAUUUUGUUUUAGUGGUGAAAUGUUAGUCGAUUUUUUAUAUCUGGUUAUCAGUGAAUUAAAUUUAAUUUAAGCAUUUAGUUGGUUUAAAUGAACUAAUAAAUGGUAAAGAAUAGGAGGGAAGAGCUUCUUAUUCUAUAAUGGUUAAGUUGUAAUUAUUAUUAUAAUAUGGUUAUUAAAUUAGGCUUAAAAACAGCUAUAUUUAUAAAGCGUUCUAGUUAAUAUAUUUAAUUUUAAUAUUUAUAUAAGUAUUCAGCGAAUUGUAAUUGAUAUUUUUAUAUAACAUGAGUUUUAAAGUUAUACUGGUUUUAUUAGUAGAGUUAUUUUGUAAGGGAAGUAUAUUUAAAUAAUACAUAAAUUAUUAUAGGGUGAAUGUAUAAAUAAGGAAUUCGGCAAAUAUUACUUUUGCCUGUUUAUCAAAAACAUGUCUGUAUGAUUGUUAUAUAGAGUCUGGCCUGCCCACUGAUAUUAUAUUAAAGGGCCGCGGUAUUUUGACCGUGCGAAGGUAGCAUAAUCAUUAGUCUUUUAAUUGGAGGCUUGUAUGAAUGGUUGGACAAAAAGUUAACUGUCUCGUUUAUAAAAAUUGAAUUUAACUUUUAAGUGAAAAGGCUUAAAUGAACUGGGGGGACGAUAAGACCCUAUAAAGCUUUACAAUAAGUUAAUUAAAUUACAAAUUAUUAGUUUAACUUAAUUUAAUUAGUAUUUGUUUCGUUGGGGCGACGAGAAUAUAAAUUAUAUAACUGUUCUUUUAGGUAUAUAACAAGAUUAAUUGGAGAAAGAUUGAUCCUUUAAUAAAGAUUAAAAGAUUAAGUUACUUUAGGGAUAACAGCGUAAUCUUCUUUGAGAGUCCAUAUCGACAAGAAGGGUUGCGACCUCGAUGUUGAAUUAAGGUACCCUUAUGAUGCAGCAGUUAUAAAGGGAGGUCUGUUCGACCUUUAAAUCCUUACAUGAUUUGAGUUCAGACCGGCGUAAGCCAGGUCGGUUUCUAUCUCUCAGGACAAGGAAAUUUACUUUAGUACGAAAGGAUUAAGUAAUUGAAAUAAUUUUUAUAGAGAGAAUAAUUUUAACAUUUACUGUAUUGGCAGAAUUAUGCAUUGGACUUAGGAUCCAAUUAUGUGGGUGU
rnacentral:rRNA from 1 species